ACGUCAGCAACCUGCACACAUACGACGCCGCGUGGAGGAUGAAGGCCUUCGGGUUGUAAACUCCUUUUCUUAGGGAAAAUGAUGAUGGUACCUAAGGAAUAAGCCACGGCUAACUCUGUGCCAGCAGCCGCGGUAAUUAA
rnacentral:rRNA from 1 species